rnacentral:lncRNA from 1 species
UGUGUGGAUAUUGCAGAGAUGCCUGUGUCAAACUGGUCCUCACUGGUUUGCUUGAAACAGGUUGAGCAAGGAUGGGAUACCUGCACAGGGGCUGUCACGGACCUUCACCUUCCACCUUCCUUCCACUGGAUGCAGCUAGAUGAGAAGAUUUUGGAUAGCAGUCCAUGUCUGUAUUAUGACAAAGUAUUGACUUUUCAGUUACUCACCAAUUUUUCAUGUGCAUGCAGCGGCAGUGAUUCUCAAGAGAGAGAAAAACUUAGCUGGUGUACUGCUGUGCUCAUCCCAGCCUGACUCUGGGCUACCAGAAGGAUGACUCCCCACCCUAAAACAUAAUCAUGUGAUACUUGAGCAGCUGGAAAAAAACAUGAGCAUGUACUUAUCCUAGACAAGUCUUAUAAUUUAUAAACCAAAAGCUAUCAUAAGAUAUAAGAUGGGGAUAUAAGAUGGAUUGGUAAUUCAAGUGAUUUAAACAAGGUCAGUUUUUCUCUAUUUGUUAAAUCAAGUAGAGGGGUGAUGAUGAUAGA